rnacentral:rRNA from 1 species
UACGUAGGUGACCAGCGUUGUCCGGAUUUACUGGGCGUAAAGAGCGCGCAGGCGGUCGUUCAAGUCGAGUGUGAAAGCCCCCGGCUCAACUGGGGAGGGUCACUCGAUACUGAUCGACUUGAAGGCAGGAGAGGGAAGCGGAAUUCCCGGUGUAGUGGUGAAAUGCGUAGAUAUCCGGAGGAACACCAGUGGCGAAGGCGACACGCUGGGCCGUACCUGACACUGAUGCGCGACAGCAUGGGGAGCAAACAGG